GACAGAGGAGCCAAGCGUUGUCCGGAUUGACUGGGCGUAAAGCGCACGCAGGCGGACUGGCGCGUGGGGUGUGAAAGCUGGCGGCUUAACUGCCAGUCGCCAUCCCAUACGGCCGGUCUGGAGCCUUGCAGAGGGCGGUGGAAUUGCCGGUGUAGUGGUGAAAUGCGUAGAGAUCGGCAGGAACACCCAGGGGGAAACCAGCCGACUGGGCAAGUGCUGACGCUGAGGUGCGAGAGCGUGGGGAGCGAACCGG
rnacentral:rRNA from 1 species